UACAGAGGUCCCGAGCGUUGUCCGGAUUUACUGGGCGUAAAGAGCGCGCAGGCGGUCGUUCAAGUCGAGUGUGAAAGCCCCCGGCUCAACUGGGGAGGGUCAUUCGAUACUGAUCGACUCGAAGGCAGGAGAGGGAAGUGGAAUUCCCGGUGUAGUGGUGAAAUGCGUAGAUAUCGGGAGGAACACCAGUGGCGAAGGCGACUUCCUGGCCUGUUCUUGACGCUGAGGCGCGAAAGCUAGGGGAGCAAACGGG
rnacentral:rRNA from 1 species